AAUGGGUUUGUUAGUAUAAUGGAAACAGAUAAGAGCAGUUAAAGUGUUACUGAGCAUGGUGGGAAUGUAAUAUAUGAGCGCACACUUGAAGACUGUCUCAACUCCAUAUCUCAAAGCAAGGUAAAGCAACCGGUCGGGAAGGGCAAGGGUUUUUAAACAAUCUUUAC